UACGAAGGGGGCUAGCGUUGCUCGGAAUGACUGGGCGUAAAGGGCGCGUAGGCGGUUUAUGCAGUCAGAUGUGAAAUCCCCGGGCUUAACCUGGGAACUGCAUUUGAGACGCAUAGACUAGAGGUCGAGAGAGGGUUGUGGAAUUCCCAGUGUAGAGGUGAAAUUCGUAGAUAUUGGGAAGAACACCGGUGGCGAAGGCGGCAACCUGGCUCGAUACUGACGCUGAGGCGCGAAAGCGUGGGGAGCAAACAGGAUUAGAUACCCUGGUAGUCCACGCUGUAAACGAUGUGUGCUGGAUGUUGGGUAACUUAGUUACUCAGUGUCGAAGCUAACGCGCUAAGCACACCGCCGGGGAGUACGGCCGCAAGGUUG
rnacentral:rRNA from 1 species